rnacentral:lncRNA from 1 species
CUGGCAGGAAGCCUCCCUGAAUGUGACCAUUGCAGGUCUCUCCCCAGCCUUACAAGAUGCCCUGAGGAUUGCAGUGGUUGCUGUGGUCUUUGCUGCUGUCUCGGGAUGGGGCUUAAUUUUUCCUGUCUGCCAAUCAGAAAAGCAAAGAAUAAGGGGGGAGCUGUGGCGGUGGCUCAGUGUCUACACCUGCGGGCUGGUGUGCGUCUCCUCUGUCCUGGCAAGCACCAC